AUUGAACGCUGGCGGCAGGCCUAACACAUGCAAGUCGAGCGGAUGAAGGGAGCUUGCUCCUGGAUUCAGCGGCGGACGGGUGAGUAAUGCCUAGGAAUCUGCCUGGUAGUGGGGGAUAACGUCCGGAAACGGGCGCUAAUACCGCAUACGUCCUGAGGGAGAAAGUGGGGGAUCUUCGGACCUCACGCUAUCAGAUGAGCCUAGGUCGGAUUGGCUAGUUGGUGGGGUAAAGGCCUACCAAGGCGACGAUCCGUAACUGGUCUGAGAGGAUGAUCAGUCACACUGGAACUGAGACACGGACCAGACUCCUACGGGAGGCAGCAGUGGGGAAUAUUGGACAAUGGGCGAGAGCCUGAUCCAGCCAUGCCGCGUGUGUGAAGAAGGUCUUCGGAUUGUAAAGCACUUUAAGUUGGGAGGAAGGGCAGUAAGUUAAUACCUUGCUGUUUUGACGUUACCAACAGAAUAAGCACCGGCUAACUUCGUG
rnacentral:rRNA from 1 species